GUUAACGUAGCUUAAAUAAAGCAUGGCGCUGAAGAUGCCAAGAUGAGUUAUAAUAAAACUCCGAUAACA
rnacentral:tRNA from 1 species